CGGGAGGCAGCAGUAGGGAAUAUUGGACAAUGGGGGCAACCCUGAUCCAGCCAUGCCGCGUGUGUGAAGAAGGCCUUUUGGUUGUAAAGCACUUUAAGCAGUGAAGAAGACUCCAUGGUUAAUACCCAUGGACGAUGACAUUAGCUGCAGAAUAAGCACCGGCUAACUCUGUGCCAGCAGCCGCGGUAAUACAGAGGGUGCAAGCGUUAAUCGGAAUUACUGGGCGUAAAGCGAGCGUAGGUGGCUUGAUAAGUCAGAUGUGAAAGCCCCGGGCUUAACCUGGGAACGGCAUCUGAUACUGUUAGGCUAGAGUAGGUGAGAGGAAGGUAGAAUUCCAGGUGUAGCGGUGAAAUGCGUAGAGAUCUGGAGGAAUACCGAUGGCGAAGGCAGCCUUCUGGCAUCAUACUGACACUGAGGUUCGAAAGCGUGGGUAGCAAACAGGAUUAGAUACCCUGGUAGUCCACGCCGUAAACGAUGUCUACUAGUCGUUGGGUCCCUUGAGGACUUAGUGACGCAGCUAACGCAUUAAGCACUCCGCCUGGGGAG
rnacentral:rRNA from 1 species